rnacentral:rRNA from 1 species
AUUGCCUCAGUAACGGCGAGUGAAGCGGCAAGAGCUCAAAUUUGAAAUCUGGCCCCUCCGGGGUCCGAGUUGUAAUUUGCAGAGGAUGCUUCGGGUGCGGCCCCUGUCUAAGUGCCCUGGAACGGGCCGUCAGAGAGGGUGAGAAUCCCGUCUUGGGCAGGGUGCCCGUGCCCGUGUGAAGCUCCUUCGACGAGUCGAGUUGUUUGGGAAUGCAGCUCUAAAUGGGUGGUAAAUUUCAUCUAAAGCUAAAUACCGGCCGGAGACCGAUAGCGCACAAGUAGAGUGAUCGAAAGAUGAAAAGCACUUUGAAAAGAGAGUUAAACAGCACGUGAAAUUGUUGAAAGGGAAGCGCUUGCGACCAGACUCGGCCCCGGGGUUCAGCCAGCACUCGUGCUGGUGUACUUCCCCGGGGGCGGGCCAGCGUCGGUUUGGGCGGCCGGUCAAAGGCCCCAGGAAUGUGUCGCCCUCCGGGGCGUCUUAUAGCCUGGGGUGCAAUGCGGCCAGCCCGGACCGAGGAACGCGCUUCGGCACGGACGCUGGCGUAAUGGUCGCAAACGACCCGUCUUGAAACACGGACCAAGGAGUCUAACAUCUACGCGAGUGUUCGGGUGUCAAACCCGUACGCGCAGUGAAAGCGAACGGAGGUGGGAGCCCCGCAAGGGGCGCACCAUCGACCGAUCCUGAUGUCUUCGGAUGGAUUUGAGUAAGAGCGUAGCUGUGGGGACCCGAAAGAUGGUGAACUAUGCCUGAAUAGGGCGAAGCCAGAGGAAACUCUGGUGGAGGCUCGCAGCGGUUCUGACGUGCAAAUCGAUCGUCAAAUUUGGGUAUAGGGGCGAAAGACUAAUCGAACCAUCUGGUAGCUGGUUCCUGCCGAA